CUACUUUUUUAUUUCUUAUCUAUAAAUAAAAUAAGACUUGUUUCCACUAGGAAUGCAACUGGCCUGGUAAUGAGAUCCCAGUCUGGUCUGGCUUCAAAGUUCAUGUUUGUUUACCAGAAGAUGAGUCAGUCCUGAAUAUAAACCUGAUCAGUGUCAUACACUUGGAAAGACCAGAAGAUGGGAUAAAAUAUGGAAAUAAAAACAUGGGAUGAGGUAUCUUAUUUUCUUUUCUUGAGAGGCCAAGGGUGAUAAAUAGAUGUUUUCAAGAAAAGCAAACUGCAGAGAUCCCAGCGCUUCUGUGUCAGAGGCUGAGUAUUAUUCCUGGAGCAUUAUUCCAGAUUCUUGUUCCUUUUCUGGGCAAGUGCUGGCCAUGCCAUGGACUGCAGUCUGAGAAAGGUGAACUUAAUUUUUCAGUGUACAGAGGAGCUUAUGAAGUUUUGCCUUGUAAUUACCCUGGUCAUAUCCCUGUAUGUCCACACUUCUACACCAUUUUUGCUGAAAAGAUGAUCGUGGACCUUGGAGAAGAUUCCGAUUCAAUGGGCAAUCAGCUGAAUUUACACUAUAGCAGCAUGUAAACUGAGUAACCAGAUGUGUACUUGAAUUUCCUGAAUUUUAUGUAUCAUCUGGAUGAAGCAUCUGGAUCCACCUCAUUGUGUAGCCUUUACUGACACAAAAUAUUUUGGACUGGCAGGUAAAGGAAACCAGAAUCAGCUGGUAGUGUUCAGCUUGCUCCAAAGCCUGUUGGAUUGCCCUUAAUGACUACAUUAAGCUGAUCGGAAGCAGAGGGAAGCUGGUAGCUAUGCAAGAUACUGGACUUGCUUUCUGAUUCCAGCUCAGUCAGAGUGCUAUUUUCCUAUAUCUCUGUGAGCCGUGAAUUCUCACUUGGACUCAUCCAGGAGACAGAAAUGUUUCUGUGUAUGGAACUGGAAACAUGGUCACUAGUCAGCUAAAUGCAUCUGCCACUGGUGGAACCUGGAAGAACAACAAACUCACAUUUCUAUGGACUCCUAGCAAAACAUAACCUGUUUUUUUUUCCCCUGAAGAUAAAGAUAAAUUUUCACAGACACAACGCAGCCACACUGUAUUUAUAGCUGCAGAUGGCUGCUCUUUCCCCUUAGCCUCACAAGUAUGUAUAUUAAACAAUAGGAAACUCUGCAGAGGUGUUUUUCUUUGUUUUGUUGUAUGUGAGCCUGUC
rnacentral:lncRNA from 1 species